GAAAAAUGUAAGACUACGUUCGUAGAUAUCCCAACUUAAUAAUCUAUAGUCAGAAGUGAUGUACUUCAUGUUUAUAAUGGUCUUGAUACAUCCAGUCCACCAAUUUAUAUAUGAGUCAUCAGUUUCUGGAAUGACCCUCCUGAUAAAGCAGUGAUGGUAAAAAAAAAUACAUCCAUCUUCAAAUUCUCGCACAACUUUGUAGAGACAAUACAACAAUAAUGUUUGGAGAGUGUGGCCAUCAUAAAAAAAUUUUCUUCUUACUUCCCAAAUGAUACGAUUAGAGGUUGACCUGACUGCGCUCUCUCUGCAUUGAUGGAUGGGCACACCUACUCUCGAAUCGUCAGCCGUAUGUGGUGGCCUCAUCGAGUUGUCAUGCAAGCACCCACCCUCUGGUAAGGAAUUUUCACUUGGAUCAGUCUAAUCUCCCAUGGCGUAUAAUAUACUGUGAUAUCCUCCACUUGUCAGUUGCAUCAUUUUUUUUAUCUUUUUUCCUGAAAUGGAAAAGUGCCAUGCAUUUCUCCUUUAGAAAUAAAAUUUUUAAGUAAACUGGAAACAAAAGUUCCAAAAAAUGCCAGAGUAAUUAUAGAAUAGAGCUGAGAGGUGAGAAACAGAGGAGGGUAGAUAUAAAUUGCAGACUUUCUACCAAAGUAUUGAAGAAUUAGAGACACUGCUUGGGUCGCUACUGGGAAAUAUGUACGUAUGCAUAGCAGCGAGCCAUAUGUUGUAAGAUCGCACACAACGCAGUAGACUAGUUGAGAAAAUCAACUGUAAAACUUGUCACAAAGACAAGAAUGUUAAAACUGUUGAUACUGUGAAAUUGAAAAAAAAAAAAAAAAGAAAAAAGAAAACAGGCAUCGGUAUGACCCAGAUAUAACUCGCGUAUUUAGUAAUGUCCUCAUGCACACAUAACCACGGGGCGCACACUCCAUACCUGAUCAACAUCACGACUUCCGGGAGGUGCGCCACCUGGCCCGAUGGUUGGGCUACCCACUCUGGACUCUGGAGAUUCAAGUCCCAACUCAUUAUUGUCCUGAUAGUAAUACCUCGAUUUUGUAAAGGGCAUUGUCAAAGACGUCAUUUCAUCUCCUCGGGGCACUAGUAAGUGUUCAUGUUUUUAAUUGAAGUCAUGCAGUGGGACCAGAGAUUCAGAAAUAUAGGGCUCUGUUGAUGAAGGGAUCUACCAAGUCUUUUAAUUAAGGAUAUUGUGGGCAGAUCAGGGAAUAUAAGACUGAGGAAAAACGCAAAACAGAGUGAUAUGUUACUCGACCAAUGACCAUUACUAUACCAUAUUCCAGAAGGUCCGAAUCCUCAUUGUUUUGCACGUGCAUCUAGUACAUAAUGCCAAAUAUAGGUAAAGAGCAAGUCCAUAACAUCGAUAAGCCAUCAAACCUCUAUGUCGCUGGAGUACUCUCUAAACAAGACCCAUAACUCUUAGCGAGCAUAAUGCCUCUUAUGUUGUGUGGAUCGAUGCAAUAUUUCAAUGUUCUCACCACAA